UACGAAGGGGGCUAGCGUUGCUCGGAAUUACUGGGCGUAAAGCGCGCGUAGGCGGCUUUGUAAGUUAGAGGUGAAAGCCCGGAGCUCAACUCCGGAACUGCCUUUAAGACUGCAUCGCUAGAAUUGUGGAGAGGUAAGUGGAAUUCCGAGUGUAGAGGUGAAAUUCGUAGAUAUUCGGAAGAACACCAGUGGCGAAGGCGACUUACUGGACACAUAUUGACGCUGAGGUGCGAAAGCGUGGGGAGCAAACAGG
rnacentral:rRNA from 1 species